rnacentral:rRNA from 1 species
UACAGAGGGUGCGAGCGUUGUCCGGAAUCACUGGGCGUAAAGGGCGCGUAGGUGGCGACCCAAGUCGAUGGUGAAAGCUCGACCGCUCAACGGCGAGUCGGCCACUGAUACUGGGUUGCUGGAGCACUGUAGAGGCAGAUGGAAUUCCGGGUGUAGCGGUGGAAUGCGUAGAGAUCCGGAAGAACACCGGUGGCGAAGGCGGCCUGCUGGGCAGUUGCUGACACUGAGGCGCGACAGCGUGGGGAGCAAACAGG